rnacentral:lncRNA from 1 species
GGCACGUAUUGCAAUCAUGACAAAAUGACUAAAUAUGAGACCCUACUGGCUACUACUAGGACCACCCCAUCACUCAUGCACACAAACAAGAAGAAAAUUAAAAGAAUCCAUUAAGGAGAGUCAUACAUAAAACCAGAAGUGAAGUUACUGGGUUGUGGACUUUGAGUGGAACAUGGACACAUGAAGCAGGUAGGUGGUAUAUUCAGUGCCAAAAUUUAUAAAGGAAAUGUAUUGUUUUAACUUUUAACUUAAAAAUACUACUAUUGUAUGACUAGUCUAAAAAGAAUAUAUGAAAGAAGGGUGAGAGCAGUUAGUAGAAAAGCAAACCUUGCGCUUUACGGCAUAUAUAUAUAUAUAUAUAUAUAUAUAUAUAUAUAUAUAUAUAUAUAUAUAUAUAUAUAUAUGUAUGUAUAUAUCACUAUGCAGUAUCCGUGAGGAUUGUUGUAACUGCUGCCUUUGCUUUUAAUGCCUGCAACAACUGUGUGUGCUCCAACUACACCAACUUCAACUAUGAACUGAACCUCACCUUUCCCUGCUUGCAAUCAGCACACAUAAUAUAAUAUACUGUAAAUGGGAAUUAUACUAUAACAAACAGGCUUUGAAUUAAGGGCUAGCUAUAGGCCACCAAAACGUUUGACCCUAUAGUAGCCACAUGCACAAGCAGUGCUUUUAACUAUUUUCAGCUGCCAUAGACUGCUAGUGUAGUGUGGAUGACAUUACAUUUAAAGUAAGCUAAGCUAAAACUGGUUUAUCACGUUAAAAGUUAGUUUCCAAACACUAGCUUCUUUGAAGACACGUACAGGACAAUGCAUUGGUAUGGGAAUUGGGAUAUUGGUGAAGCAAUGAAGCUAUACAUGCUACCUCUAUAAAGUCUGAACCAAUGUUGAAAACUUCAUUCAUACAAAGGUAACCACUAACUAGAGUCUAGAGUACUUUUGUUUUCUUAUUUGGAUUGAGUGAAACUAAAGUAAAACUAAAUGCACAAGCAGCAGGAUUCCCAUUAUAUAACUUGAAACAGAACAGCAACAACCUCAAAAGGCAAUGUUUCUAAGUAACUGAUACUUCACCAUGCAUGAACAUAAUAAUAGAUUAACUUUUAGAAUGCUUUUAAGGGAAAGCAAAGAAAGGUGAGUUUGGAACAUAUAUAACUAGGGUGCAAGGAAGAGGAAGCAAAUAAACAUAGAUUUUGGGGACCGGACCAGGUGCUAAUAGAGAACUCUUGCCUUUCUUUGAUUCAUAAUUAAAGCGUGUAUGAAAGAACACUAGUCUAAGAAUAGAGUCCUCACUCACUGCCUUUAAGAAAGGAGCAUCAGAAGAGAAACAAUUAGUAUUAAAAGAGGGAACACUAUGAUAGUAAUAGUAUUAAAAAAGAAUAAUUGCAGAAAGGAUCGGAGGAUUAUGAUGAUGGGAGAGUAAGAAUAAAUAUUAUUAUUAUCCAUAUAAUAAUAAUGGUAAGGUUUGAGAAUCCAAAAAUACACACAACACAAGAGAAAUUAAGAAAGUAAGGGUUGGCAGUGCUAAGUGGUGCCUACUAUGCUGCAAAGGUUAAUUUCACGGCACUUGUAGCUCCAGCCAGCAAUUGAAGGGUUACUCUGCUUUUAUUAUUGGGUGUAAGUAAACAAACAAGAGAUGUUAUAUAUAAUGAGAAACAAUGAAAGGAGGAAAGAAAAGAAAAGAAAGGUUGGGUUGUGUUGUGUCAGCUUAUUUGACGGAAAUAGAGAUUCCGGGGACUAAGUGUCAGUAAAGUGAGAAGAGA